AGAACUUCAGAUCGAUUCUGCGCUAGUCGAUCGCCAGACGCCACAGAACGUACGCCAUGGCAGCGAGUCCCGCCGUCUCAGCCCGUGUAGAUCUUCCUGCGCGGUACCGAUUGAUGCGCCAUCGAGUACACGAGCCCGGCGAUCACUUGAUUUAUUCCUCCAGCAAUCGAGUCGAAGAGUAAGUGUUGCUGGAGCUCAUUUGACUGAAUUGGCUACUCCACAUUUUGAGGGGCUACAGUUGAAUAAUACAACUCCUUUUGAUGGGAAUCAGUUUAUGCCAGCAUUUGGUCUUCCUCAUUGUUUUAACAUGAGACAACAAUUUCCUCCUGUGGAUCAAAAUUUCAUUGCUGAUGGAAACAUAGAACAGAGCUCAAAUCAUACAUGCUGCAGGAGAAGAGAUUUUCCACAAAAAUCAGCAUUUCACAAGUUUUCUGAGAAGCACGAGUUUGGAAGUUCCAGUACUUAUAUGGAGCCAUCAUUUUUUAAGAAAGCAACAGACUCGAGUCGUAAAGAAGAAAGAAAUCCACCAAAGCCUCCAAAAUUUCUUGCAGAAAAUUGCAACCGUCAAGCGCAUCAUGGCAGUGUGAGUAUCUCAUUACCUGUUUCAGAUUCCGUUUCUUCAUUCAGUGUCCAUUUUAGAUGUUCUUGUAUCCCACUGCUACAGCCUUUGUAUUCUUAUGCUGCAGUUAUUUUAUCUUACGUCACUUUGGCGCUGAUUUUGAUAACACUGAUUUUUUGUGUUGUUACUCUUGGUUGGCCUACCUGUUCAAUAUCAAGAUUUCUUUAAAACUAGCUUGGGAGAGAUCGAUAAACAGGCAAGCUACCACAAUUGCCAUCAGAUAUGGCCAGUGGGUUUUACAUCUUACUGGCA